AUGCCGGCAUAAGUAAGCUCAUGCAACCAGUAGUACAGCAGGCCAAUAACCAUGCAAUAGCAAUAACCAUUAGUGCACUUACAUCUCGCAUCUUAGUUUUGAUCUAGGUUUGAUCUUUAAAUUUAAAAAAAGACCGACUGUACACUCCACACAACACCACUAUAAAAACAAACACAAGACUGUUACGUAUAAUGAACACCCCAUCCAAGAGUGACACAGACUCCCACCCUAUAAAUGUAGUACAAGGUUGAGUCUCCUCCCUCCUCAAUCUCCCUGUUUUGUCCUAAUUCCUCUUGUACACAGGGUCAUCAGUGAUCUAUAUUUUAGACAUCUUGUCAUCAAGGCUGCUACCAAACUAAACAUCCACAUAUAUUUUCAGAGCUUUAAUUCAAGAAUUCUGAAUGGUCAACUAGUGAAAAUGACAUUAGCAAACCCUACCUACUUGUUACGUAUCAAAAAUAUCCUCCAAUAUGUUUCAUCUAGAAUAUAUGUCAAUGGCUAAAAUCAAAUACAUGAGACAUGCUAAGAUACAAUGUGCAUAAAGUGUAAUGUUAUAUCAAGUACUAUAUUUUGGUUUGUUUAUUUUUGACAUUUUAAAAGUUUUCUAGUUUUUGCCAAUUUUGAACUAAACUGUAUGCCUAAACGUUUCAGAGAAAAGUUUGUAUUAUCUUUCUUACACAUAUGGCCUAACACAUGCACAGCAAGCCAAUCUCUUACAGCCAUACACUCCCAGUCACACAUACACACAGAUAUGCAGUGCCAGACUUAACAUCCCACUGUAAGACUCACAAUACCAAGACAUGAAUGAGAAAGUAGGUUUGUGGUUCACAUCAGUCUUUGUGUUGACUGGCCUGGUGAGAACUACUGAAAUUUUAAACCAUCUGAGGGUGGUGUUGACUGGGCCUGAUAAGGCUUACCUGAGUACAAGAGCUGAAUUUCAGUGUGAGGCAUUAGGUGCUUCUGCUCCAAUUAUUUACCGAUUUGUUAAGGACAAUAGGUGGCUUAUUGACUUCCAGAAGAAUCUGAAGACGAACAAGCCUGUUAGGUUUUAUGGGAAGGUCACGGCAAGCUCAGCAGGGAUGUACUUCUGCAAUGUGAAGACAAAUGGAAAAACCAGCAACAGUAACUCCAUCCACCUGCAAGUAGUGAUUCCGGUCAUAGGUGCCCGACUCUUGACUGAACCUGACCCACCCAUUUUAUAUGAGGGUGUGGGGUUCAGACUUCGAUGUGAGGUGGAGAAGGGGUCACACCUCUCUUACACCUGGUACCACAACAGACAGAAAGUGUCUGUGGCGUCAGCCAUGUAUAAUAUUUCAGAGAAUAUGCUGACGGUCAAGAGAGCAACUGAACAUCAUGGUGGAAGCUACUUCUGCAUGGCGUGUAAUCAGGUUGGAAACAUCACCCGGCUCUCUAACAGCAACGAGGAACACGUCGUCAUUAAAACUUACUUGACCACACCACAGCUCUCAUACAGUGUGUACAAGGAGAACUCGAGUUACCAUGCCAACAUGAGCUGUCACGUGAGUCAAGGCAGUACUCCUGUGACAUUUCGGUUGCUCCUGAAUGGACAGGAGGCGGCAGUGCGGGUGUCAGACUCCCUGGCGGUUUGGUUCAGUGUGCCUGUUUUCCUGGAGAUGGACAUGGGCACAGCUCAGUGUCUAACAGAGACACAUGAUCAGCAGAUACUGAGCAACUCUGUGGAUCUUGAAGUGGUUGCAGUAUGGGGCACCGUGAGCAUCCAUGUUGAAUACCUGUACAACCAAGAUUCCCAGGUGGCCGCAGCCAGGCUGAAAUGUGAUGUCAGCAGAGGGACGUUCCCUUCUUAUGCUUGGAUACGCAACUACUCCCUUCUGAUAACAAAGAGUGAUCACCACUCCCUUAUCCAUGGCCAGAUCCUAGUCCUGAUGGACCUCAGUUUGCAGGGUCCUGGGUACUACCACUGUCUUGUGAGGGACAGCUUCAAUAACAACAGAUCUUGGAUGCAGAGUAGAGAGGUUUUUGUGGAAGCCAAAGGGAAGGCUGUGGUUCCAAUCGAGAUUAUUGCUGUGGGAUUCUGUGGCUUCAUGCUUCUGGUUCUACUCGGAGUCACAUGCUUCAUCUGGACAUUUGACUGUGAGUGCAAGUGGCAGGCUUCACAAGAAUCAUUUUCUUCAUAA
ensembl:lncRNA